GUGGGGAAUAUUGGACAAUGGGGGGAACCCUGAUCCAGCCAUGCCGCGUGUGUGAAGAAGGCCUUUUGGUUGUAAAGCACUUUAAGCGAGGAGGAGGCUACCGAGAUUAAUACUCUUGGAUAGUGGACGUUACUCGCAGAAUAAGCACCGGCUAACUCUGUGCCAGCAGCCGCGGUAAUACAGAGGGUGCAAGCGUUAAUCGGAUUUACUGGGCGUAAAGCGCGCGUAGGUGGCCAAUUAAGUCAAAUGUGAAAUCCCCGAGCUUAACUUGGGAAUUGCAUUCGAUACUGGUUGGCUAGAGUAUGGGAGAGGAUGGUAGAAUUCCAGGUGUAGCGGUGAAAUGCGUAGAGAUCUGGAGGAAUACCGAUGGCGAAGGCAGCCAUCUGGCCUAAUACUGACACUGAGGUGCGAAAGCAUGGGGAGCAAACAGGAUUAGAAACCCUAGUAGUCC
rnacentral:rRNA from 2 species